rnacentral:rRNA from 1 species
UGGGGAAUUUUGGACAAUGGGAGAAACCCUGAUCCAGCCAUCCCGCGUGUGCGAUGAAGGCCUUCGGGUUGUAAAGCACUUUUGGCAGGAAAGAAACGUCGCGGGUUAAUACCCCGCGAAACUGACGGUACCUGCAGAAUAAGCACCGGCUAACUACGUGCCAGCAGCCGCGGUAAUACGUAGGGUGCAAGCGUUAAUCGGAAUUACUGGGCGUAAAGCGUGCGCAGGCGGUUCGGAAAGAAAGAUGUGAAAUCCCAGAGCUUAACUUUGGAACUGCAUUUUUAACUACCGGGCUAGAGUGUGUCAGAGGGAGGUGGAAUUCCGCGUGUAGCAGUGAAAUGCGUAGAUAUGCGGAGGAACACCGAUGGCGAAGGCAGCCUCCUGGGAUAACACUGACGCUCAUGCACGAAAGCGUGGGGAGCAAACAGGAUUAGAUACCCUGGUAGUCCACGCCCUAAACGAUGUCAACUAGCUGUUGGGGCCUUCGGGCCUUGGUAGCGCAGCUAACGCGUGAAG